rnacentral:tRNA from 1 species
GGGCCCAUAGCUCAGCGGUAGAGCCACCGGCUCAUAACCGGUCNGUCCCAGGUUCGAAUCCUGGUGGGCCCACCA